rnacentral:rRNA from 1 species
GACGAACGCUGGCGGCGUGCUUAACACAUGCAAGUCGAACGAUGAACCCGGAGCUUGCUCCGGCGGAUUAGUGGCGAACGGGUGAGUAACACGUGAGUAACCUGCCCUUGACUCUGGGAUAACUGCUAGAAAUGGUAGCUAAUACCGGAUACGACCCUCGGCGGCAUCGCCAGGGGGUGGAAAGAAUUUCGGUCAAGGAUGGACGAGCGGCCUAUCAGCUAGUUGGUGAGGUAACGGCUCACCAAGGCGACGGCGGGUCGCCGGCCUGAGAGGGUGACCGGCCACACUGGGACUGAGACACGGCCCAGACUCCUACGGGAGGCAGCAGUGGGGAAUAUUGCACAAUGGGCGCAAGCCUGAUGCAGCAACGCCGCGUGAGGGAUGACGGCCUUCGGGUUGUAAACCUCUUUUAGUAGGGAAGAAGCGAAAGUGACGGUACCUGCAGAAAAAGCACCGGCUAACUACGUGCCAGCAGCCGCCGCCG